UAACACAUGCAAGUCGAACGCGAAAGCCCGCUUCGGGCGGGCCGGUAGAGUGGCGAACGGGUGAGUAACACGUAGACAACCUGCCUUCCAGUUCGGGAUAACCUUUCGAAAGAGGGGCUAAUACCGGAUAACACUCCCAGGUCGCAUGGCCCGGGGUUGAAAGGCUUGCUGCUGGAAGAGGGGUCUGCGGGACAUUAGCUUGUUGGCGGGGUAACGGCCCACCAAGGCUGUGAUGUCUAGCGGGUCUGAGAGGAUGAUCCGCCACACUGGAACUGAGAUACGGUCCAGACUCCUACGGGAGGCAGCAGUGGGGAAUUUUGCGCAAUGGGCGAAAGCCUGACGCAGCAACGCCGCGUGAGUGAAGAAGGCCUUUGGGUCGUAAAGCUCUUUUCCGGGGGAAGAGACCAGACGGUACCCCGGGAAUAAGCACCGGCUAACUCCGUGCCAGCAGCCGCGGUAAUACGGAGGGUGCGAGCGUUGUUCGGAUUUACUGGGCGUAAAGGGCGUGUAGGCGGGUGCGCAAGCCGGAGGUGAAA
rnacentral:rRNA from 2 species